UACGAAGGGGGCUAGCGUUGCUCGGAAUCACUGGGCGUAAAGGGUGCGUAGGCGGGUCUUUAAGUCAGAGGUGAAAUCCUGGAGCUCAACUCCAGAACUGCCUUUGAUACUGAAAGUCUUGAGUUCGGGAGAGGUGAGUGGAACUGCGAGUGUAGAGGUGAAAUUCGUAGAUAUUCGCAAGAACACCAGUGGCGAAGGCGGCUCACUGGCCCGAUACUGACGCUGAUGCACGAAAGCGUGGGGAGCAAACAGG
rnacentral:rRNA from 1 species